AUUGAACGCUGGCGGCAGGCCUAACACAUGCAAGUCGAGCGGAUGAAGGGAGCUUGCUCCUGGAUUCAGCGGCGGACGGGUGAGUAAUGCCUAGGAAUCUGCCUGGUAGUGGGGGAUAACGUCCGGAAACGGGCGCUAAUACCGCAUACGUCCUGAGGGAGAAAGUGGGGGAUCUUCGGACCUCACGCUAUCAGAUGAGCCUAGGUCGGAUUAGCUAGUUGGUGGGGUAAAGGCCUACCAAGGCGACGAUCCGUAACUGGUCUGAGAGGAUGAUCAGUCGCACUGGAACUGAGACACUGUCCAGACUCCUACGGGAGGCAGCAGUGGGGAAUAUUGGACAAUGGGCGAAAGCCUGAUCCAGCCAUGCCGCGUGUGUGAAGAAGGUCUUCGGAUUGUAAAGCACUUUAAGUUGGGAGGAAGGGCAGUAAGUUAAUACCUUGCUGUUUUGACGUUACCAACAGAAUAAGCACCGGCUAACUUCGUG
rnacentral:rRNA from 1 species